GACGAACGCUGGCGGCGUGCUUAACACAUGCCAGUCGAACGGAAAGGCCCUGCUUUUGUGGGGUGCUCGAGUGGCGAAAGGGUGAGUAACACGUGAGUAACCUGCCCUUGACUUUGGGAUAACUUCAGGAAACUGGGGCUAAUACCGGAUAGGAGCUCCUGCUGCAUGGUGGGGGUUGGAAAGGUUCGGCGGUUGGGGAUGGACUCGCGGCUUAUCAGCUUGUUGGUGGGGUAGUGGCUUACCAAGGCUUUGACGGGUAGCCGGCCUGAGAGGGUGACCGGCCACAUUGGGACUGAGAUACGGCCCAGACUCCUACGGGAGGCAGCAGUGGGGAAUAUUGCACAAUGGGCGGAAGCCUGAUGCAGCAACGCCGCGUGCGGGAUGACGGCCUUCGGGUUGUAAACCGCUUUCGCCUGUGACGAAGCGUGAGUGACGGUAAUGGGUAAAGAAGCACCGGCUAACUACGUG
rnacentral:rRNA from 1 species